rnacentral:misc_RNA from 1 species
CAGAGUUGCAAGACUCCCUAAACCAUUGUGAACCUACCUUCUACCGUUGCUUCGGCGGGCGGGCCCAGCGCCCCCCCGGCCCCCCGCGGGCGCCCGCCGGAGGAUACCCAAACUCUUGACACUAGUGGCCUCUCUGAGUAUUCUUUACUGAAUAAGUCA